rnacentral:rRNA from 1 species
GCCAGCCCGCUCAGAAACUUCAAGGAAUGACGGGGCCCGCACAAGCGGUGGAGUAUGUGGUUUAAUUCGAUGCAACGCGAAGAACCUUACCUGGUCUUGACAUCCCGGAGACCCUUAGGAAACUAGGGGGUGCUUCCAUCUGGAAGAAUCUGGAGACAGGUGCUGCAUGGCUGUCGUCAGCUCGUGUCGUGAGAUGUUGGGUUAAGUCCCGCAACGAGCGCAACCCUUGCCUUUAGUUGCCAGCAGUUCGGCUGGGCACUCUAAAGGGACUGCCGGUGUUAAACCGGAGGAAGGUGGGGAUGACGUCAAGUCCUCAUGGCCUUUAUGACCAGGGCUACACACGUACUACAAUGGCCGAUACAAAGGGCAGCGACACUGCGAGGUGAAGCCAAUCCCGUAAAAUCGGUCUCAGUCCGGAUUGGAGUCUGCAACUCGACUCCAUGAAGUUGGAAUCGCUAGUAAUCGUGGAUCAGCAUGCCACGGUGAAUACGUUCCCGGGCCUU